rnacentral:rRNA from 1 species
UACGUAGGUGGCAAGCGUUGUCCGGAAUCAUUGGGCGUAAAGCGCGCGUAGGUGGCUUCGUAAGUCCGUUGUGAAAGUCAAAGGCUCAACCUUUGAAAGCCGAUGGAUACUGCGGAGCUAGAGUACGGAAGAGGCGAGUGGAAUUCCUGGUGUAGCGGUGGAAUGCGCAGAUAUCAGGAGGAACACCAAUAGCGAAGGCAGCUCGCUGGGACGUUACUGACACUGAGGCGCGAAAGCGUGGGGAGCGAACAGG